GAUAACUACAACAGAAGAUACAGUGACAACAACAGGCCUAGUAGAAUCUGCUACUACACUCAAAGCUUCAACCUUGGUACAGGUGACAUCAGCAUUGCCAGCAACUGCAGCGAACACGACCACAGCAGCAACCGUUAGCAAUGAACCAGAAUCAACCAAGACUACACUAGCUCAAGUUUCAUCUACUGUGAUACAUUCUGUGGCAGUAGGUACAGUUACAACAACAACAUCAACAACAAGCUUAGUAAAGUCUGCUACUGCACCAAAAGCUUCAACCUUUGUACCAGUGACAUCAGCAUUGACAGCAACUGCAUCAAGGACAACAGCAGCAGCAACUGUUAGAAAUAAACCAGAAUCAACCAAGACUACACUAGCUAAGGGUUCAUCUACUGUAUUAAAUUCUACAACAGUAUAUACAACAACAUCGACAACAACAACAACACUAACGUCAGUAAAGCCAGUAACAGAGGCUCAUACCUCAUAUGUGUCCACUGUAGCACCAACAACAGAGGGCACAAAUACUGAUCCUCCUACCCUUGACGAGGGAAGCAUACACUUAAGAUUCAGUCUAAAUGAAACUUUCAGUGAAAUAUAUAACAACCACUCAUCCCCUGAAUUCAUUGCAUUGGCAUCCCAUGUGGUAACUGUGAUAAACAGAAUUUACAGGGCAAGCAAUCUCAGAGGAUACAGGCGAUGUAGAGUCAACUCUUUCGUGAGGGGCUCCAUUAAAGUUGAUAUGACUCUUAUCUUUGAGAAUUCUUCUACAGUCCCAAGCUCAUUUGAGGUAGAGGGAAUUCUUAAUGGGACCGCUGUGAAUGGUACCAUACUUUUGGACAUCAUACUUGAUACUAUCAAAGCAGGUGAGUGUGUGAAGUACAAUUGACAAAUUAGCAUAACAAUGAAAUCGUUAAAAUGUUUCAUGUGUGCACAUUUUAUAUUACAGGGGAAGUAGUUACUUCUAGUACACCACCGCCUGCCACAAAUGCAACUUUUGAAUCUACCACCAUGAAAUCAAGUACCAAUGAGUACACAAACACCACGUCUAGUGCCUUUCCAUGGAUGGUACGCUGUUCACUAAUGACUAUAUCUCCAGC
ensembl:lncRNA